GGACGAACGCUGGCGGCGUGCUUAACCCAUGCAAGUCGAACGGAAAGCCCCUGCUUUUGUGGGGUGCUCGAGUGGCGACCGGGUGAGUAACACGUGAGUAACCUGCCCUUGACUUUGGGAUAACUUCAGGAAACUGGGGCUAAUACCGGAUAGGAGCUCCUGCUGCAUGGUGGGGGUUGGAAAGUUUCGGCGGUUGGGGAUGGACUCGCGGCUUAUCAGCUUGUUGGUGGGGUAGUGGCUUACCAAGGCUUUGACGGGUAGCCGGCCUGAGAGGGUGACCGGCCACAUUGGGACUGAGAUACGGCCCAGACUCCUACGGGAGGCAGCAGUGGGGAAUAUUGCACAAUGGGCGGAAGCCUGAUGCAGCAACGCCGCGUGCGGGAUGACGGCCUUCGGGUUGUAAACCGCUUUCGCCUGUGACGAAGCGUGAGUGACGGUAAUGGGUAAAGAAGCACCGGCUAACUACGUG
rnacentral:rRNA from 1 species